GAGUUUGAUCCUGGCUCAGGAUGAACGCUAGCGAUAGGCUUAACACAUGCAAGUCGAGGGGCAGCAAUUCGUAGCAAUACGAAGUUGGCGACCGGCGCACGGGUGAGUAACGCGUAUGCAACCUACCCGCAACAGAAGGAUAAUCCGGCGAAAGUCGGUCUAAUACUUCAUAAUACAGGGACACCGCAUGGUGAUAUUUGUUAAAGAUUAAUUGGUUGCGGAUGGGCAUGCGUGCCAUUAGGUAGUUGGUGAGGUAACGGCCCACCAAGCCGACGAUGGUUAGGGGUUCUGAGAGGAAAAUCCCCCACACUGGUACUGAGACACGGACCAGACUCCUACGGGAGGCAGCAGUGAGGAAUAUUGGUCAAUGGGCGAGAGCCUGAACCAGCCAAGUCGCGUGAAGGAAGACGGCCCUAUGGGUUGUAAACUUCUUUUGCAGGGGAAUAAAGAUAUCCACGAGUGGAUAGUUGUAUGUACCCUGCGAAUAAGCAUCGGCUAACUCCGUGCCAGCAGCCGCGGUAAUACGGAGGAUGCGAGCGUUAUCCGGAUUUAUUGGGUUUAAAGGGUGCGUAGGUGGGCUAUUAAGUCAGUGGUGAAAGUUUGUCGCUCAACGAUAAAAUUGCCGUUGAAACUGGUGGUCUUGAGUAUGGAUGAAGUAGGCGGAAUGCGUGGUGUAGCGGUGAAAUGCAUAGAGAUCACGCAGAACUCCGAUUGCGAAGGCAGCUUACUAAGGCAUAACUGACACUGAAGCACGAAAGCGUGGGUAUCAAACAGGAUUAGAUACCCUGGUAGUCCACGCAGUAAACGAUGAUUACUAGGAGUUUGCGAUAUAGUGUAAGCUCUACAGCGAAAGCGUUAAGUAAUCCACCUGGGGAGUACGUACGCAAGUAUGAAACUCAAAGGAAUUGACGGGGACCCGCACAAGCGGUGGAGCAUGUGGUUUAAUUCGACGCAACGCGAGGAACCUUACCAGCGUUUGACAUCUUAGGAAUGAGACAGAGAUGUUUCAGUGUCCCUUCGGGGAAACCUAAAGACAGGUGGUGCAUGGCUGUCGUCAGCUCGUGUCGUGAGAUGUUGGGUUAAGUCCCGCAACGAGCGCAACCCCUUUCGUAUGUUACCAUCAUUAAGUUGGGGACUCAUGCGAUACUGCCUACGAUGAGUAGGAGGAAGGUGGGGAUGACGUCAAGUCAUCAUGCCCCUUAUACGCUGGGCUACACACGUGCUACAAUGGGUAGAACAGAGAGUUGCAAAGCUGUGAAAGUGGAGCUAAUCUCAGAAAACUAUUCUUAGUUCGGAUUGUACUCUGCAACUCGAGUACAUGAAGUUGGAAUCGCUAGUAAUCGCGAAUCAGCAAUGUCGCGGUGAAUACGUUCUCGGGUCUUGCACACACCGCCCGUC
rnacentral:rRNA from 1 species